rnacentral:rRNA from 1 species
GAUGAACGCUGGCGGCGUGCCUAAUACAUGCAAGUCGAGCGAACGGACGAGAAGCUUGCUUCUCUGAUGUUAGCGGCGGACGGGUGAGUAACACGUGGAUAACCUACUUAUAAGACUGGGAUCACUUCGGGAAACCGGAGCUAAUACCGGAUGAUAUUUUGAACUUCAUGGUUCAAAAGUGAAAGACGGUAUUGCUGUCACUUAUAGAUGGAUCCGCGCUGCAUUAGCUAGUUGGUAAGGUAACGGCUUACCAAGGCAACGAUGCAUAGCCGACCUGCGAGGGUGACCGGCCACACUGGAACUGAGACACGGUCCAGACUCCUACGGGAGGAACCGGAAGGGAAUCUUCCGCAAGGGGCGAAAGCCUGACGGAGCAACGCCGCGUGGGUGAUGAAGGUCUUCGGUUCGUAAAACUCGGUGAUAAGGGAAGAACAUAUGUGUAAGGAACUGUGCACAUCGUGACGGUACCUAAUCAGAAAGCCACGGCUAACUACGUG